AUGAAAAAAAUAUAUUUUUUUGUGUUCUGCAGAAGAAAGAAACAUCAGCUUGGCCCAACUGAAAGACAAUCUGACAACCAGACUGGUUUAAGUGGCUUUUUGCAGCAGGGAAAAGAACAAUUUAACAAAAUAUUAAAUUCCAGCAACCCCUGGGAGUUUGGACCCUGGCACAGGCUCAUGGAGAUGCUGGUUGAGGGGGCUUGGCAGAACAGCAAGGUCAGCAGAUCUGUCGUGCCGCAGUGGCUCGGAGGACUCAGCCCAUUCCCACCUCUGGCCAGUAAUCCGCCCCAGCAUCCGCCACAGUCCAACCAGACACAUCCGCAGCUGUGCCAAACUAUUCUAACAUAUCCAGCAAGUGAGAAAUGCAAUGCAUUCAGUUUUAAUGCAUUCAGUUUUAAUGCAUUAAGUUCCUCUUUUAAGGAAUGAAAGCAAAAUAAAAUAUAGCAAAGAUGUUUUAUUGAUGUCUUCCCUUGGUCUUUUGAAUAGCAUUCCUAUCGACUGUGUAUAUCACUAGGUAAUGUUUGUUGAGCUUCAAUGAUAAUUUAGUUAGAUCAAAAAACUGUGAAUAACUUUACUUUUGACUAAAUUCCCAUCUGUGGAUUUCUUUAUAGAGCUGUUCUGAAGGAGCUGUUCUUUUGCCAUCAUUUACUGAUAUUCUUGCAAGUUUCUAACUUUCAAACCAGACUUUAGAUAUUGCACAGAACAGAUUGAAGCAGCAAGGUCAGUUGAGGUAAAUGUGUUGACUUCAGAGUGCACAACCCCCCCACCCCACCCCAAAAAAUAAAAUAAAUAAAUGCAUCAAGGAGGUUAAUAUGUACUGGAUUCCAUAGUUUUCUUAAAAGAAAAGGCAUUUUCUUUAUUAACAUUGUGAUUAAAAUUUAAAUGUUUCAUUGAUGCUUACUUGUUCACGCCCCUUGUACAUAUACACCAAAAUGUACAGUUCACCCAAAAAAGAAAAUUCUGUCAUCAUUUACCUCAUCCUUAGUCUUCUGCUGAACACAGAAGAUAAUUUGGAGAAUGAUGGUAACCAAACAGUUUCUUCAAAACUAUGGAACUCAGUGGGGGCCAGCAACUGUUUGGUUACCCACAUUCUUCAGAUAUCCUAUUUAAUGUUAAACAGAAGGAGACAAAAUUCCAUAAAAAAGGCACACAAUGACAUUGCUGAAGAUCACAUGAAAGACAUAUGAAGAAUACAAUGGAAUUAAAUUAUGUUAUUGAGAAAUUUGACCCCCUUUACGGAUUGUGGGAUUAACUUUAUUAAAUUAAUUUAAUGGAAUUAAACAUACUUAAUCUAAUUAUUUAAUGCAUUAUCUUUGGCAGCCCUAUUUUAAAGUCAAAUCAAUAAAAUACACAGAUGUAUACAGACAAGCAGCUGAAAUGAAAACAGAAAAUAUACUGCAUAUAAGCUUUCCACAUGCUAUUCUCUAUUGUCUUUUUCCCCAUAUAUUACUUUUCUACUUAAUUCCGUCUCCUUAAAUAAAUAGAAUCUAUUCCCUUAUCUGGGCACAAGGUUGUCUGCCAUGCAUGGCAUGGUGGUCUCUGUUGAAAACCUCAUUCUGUUGUAGAGUUCUUUUGGGAAUAUUGUUUUUUCUUUUGUUUUUUGUUUUUUAGGAAAGAGGGCACAGAAGCAUUUCUCUUGUCCCCUUUGUCUUGUCUGGAAGGUUUGCAGAUAAAUAGAUGGAAGGAAGUAACAAAAAUAAUAGUUGACUUCUCUUUGAUUGAGUUCAUAUGUGGCAUAUUUACACUGAGGUAAGACCUGAAUGAGACGGAUGUUAAAAUGGGCGAAUGCUGAGUCACGCUGACAGACUCUGGCAGCCAUGAUCUCCUCAUUGAUUAUCUGUACAGCAUGCUGUGGCAGGAGGCCAGAAAGACCAGCAAACAGAAGGACACAGGAAGGAAGAGAGAGCGUUUUAUCUCAUUUACUGGAAGCAGGCUGGCUCUCUGUGAAGACACCAAUAUCAGUCGGGUUUACCUACCACUCAUAUCUCAUAAAAUGCAAAUGCCGUUCCUCUGAGCCGUGAACCUUAAUUAGAGCAGAAUUACACAAAUGAAAUAUUGUUUUAUGUAUUACGCCGUGAAAUUGGGUUUAAUUAUGUCAUCAGUGCUGAAGCUCGCUAUGCAUUGUCCACAUAUGCAUAUAAAUGAUUGGGGAUAUUGGUUUGACAGCUGUCCACUCCCUUUGCAAGCGGGCAGAAGUCUUUGAAGAGGUCUCUGAUCUUACUCAGCUCCUCAGAAUAUGGAAUAAUCCUGCAUUGUCUGCAAGGUCCCAGUCUGCAUCUUUAGUAUGUUGCAUGUCAUAAACAUAGGGUGGGCUACAGCUUCACACUUCGUUUCAAAACACAUGGUGGGGGGUGGGGGGUGUUGGGUCGAUUAAACACAAACGCAUACACGCUGUGUGCUGAAUUGUUUUUUUCUCUGGACGAUCCUAGUUCAUGCUCUCCUCUACCCCAGGCGAGUAGAUGUGAUUGGAUAUCCUUAAUCAUGCUGCCUCUAAAUUGGUUUUGGAGAAAGCGAUAACUUCUAAGUAUGCAGUAGCCCCACUGGGUUGCAAAGAUAUGCAGCAUUGGCAUACCCAUCUAUUUUUUUUUUUAACAAUUGUUAUUUUUAUGGGAUUUUCUGCAUUAAAUUACACAGGAGAACCAGGAAGUGAAAUGAACAGGAAAUGAUUCAAACAUCAGAGCAUGUCUGCUGCCCACCUGGAUACUAAAAUUAAUCUAGACUUUAAGGGUGCAGGGAAUUUGUGGGUUGCGUGAUGUUAUUUCUGGUAUUCAUGCAAAUGUGAUUAUAAUCAAGGAAAAUCUCAGUCAUCAACACUGUACAUACUAAAUGUAUGAACUUCACUGGUGAUGAGAAUAUACAUAAAGCAAUUUUGAAUAUUAAAAAGAGAUACUAUGGUAAUAUGACAUGCAUGUAAAUGUGUAGCUAACAUGUAGCUAAAUUCAUUAUCUGAAAAUUCAUAAUACACUUCAAAACUAAAAACUACAGCCUUGCAUUUGCAUUCCUCACCCAUUUGACUAAACAAGUUGAAACAGAAAUAUCAAAACCUUACUGUUCCAUAGUGCAAUGAGUUGUGGGGAGUAUUAGCUCAUAGAAUGAUUUGGGACACAUUGACACAUAAUAUAUAGGACAAAUAAUAUGCAAAUUAGAAUGCAGCACUAGUAUCAGCCUCCCACAGUGAUGCUCAUUGAUUUAAACUGUCGGAAUUGACCUUUUGCUAUCCCUCCUUGGUUGCUGUAACUUGCCUAGACAAGCCUCACAGAGUGUUCUGUAACUGAACAGACACUAUU
ensembl:lncRNA